rnacentral:rRNA from 1 species
UACGGAGGGUGCAAACGUUGCUCGGAAUCAUUGGGCGUAAAGCGCACGUAGGCGGUCCUUUAAGUCGGGUGUGAAAGCCCUCGGCUCAACCGAGGAAGUGCAUUCGAAACUGGGGGACUUGAAUACUGGAGAGGAUGGCGGAAUUCCCGGUGUAGAGGUGAAAUUCGUAGAUAUCGGGAGGAACCCCAGCGGCGAAGGCGGCCAUCUGGAAGGAUAUUGAGGCUGAGGUGCAAAGGCGUGGGAGCAAACAGG